rnacentral:misc_RNA from 1 species
GAGAAAUGCAGCAUCAACAUAUAAUAUCCUAAACGAGGAAGGUAGAAUUGUAGCUGCAGCACUUCUGCCUUACGGAGUUUCUUCAUGACCCACCACCCAGAUGCCUCUCCAAUUGCAGGAUUCUUGUAUCCCUCAAAUCUCACAAGUAUUCCUAAGCGCUUUGAUCUCUACCCAUUUGUAGACUGACUGCAAGUACCAAGUCACUUGGUCCUUUUUGCUGUAUAGAUAAUACUGUUAUGGUCAAAACCUGCUACCGAGAAUUUUG